rnacentral:rRNA from 1 species
GGAUUAGAUACCCUGGUAGUCCAUGCUGUAAACGAUGUGUGCUAGACGUUGGAAAUUUAUUUUCAGUGUCGCAGCAAAAGCGUUAAGCACACCGCCUGGGGAGUACGACCGCAAGGUUAAAACUCAAAUGAAUUGACGGGGACCCGCACAAGCAGUGGAGCAUGUGGUUUAAUUCGAAGAUACGCGCAGAACCUUACCAACACUUGACAUGUUCGUCGCGAGACCAAGAGAUUGGUUUCUUCAUUCAGUUGGACGAAACACAGGUGCUGCAUGGCUGUCGUCAGCUCGUGCCG